GCCGGGUUAGCUCAGUCGGUAGAGCAUGCAACUCUUGAUCUCAGGGUCGUGAGUUCAGGUCCCACAUUGGGCA
rnacentral:tRNA from 1 species